rnacentral:rRNA from 1 species
GCAAUGGACGAAAGUCUGACGGAGCACGCCGCGUGAGUGAGAAGGUUUUCGGAUCGUAAACUCUGUUGUCAGGGAAGAACAAGUAUGGGAGUAACUGCCCGUACCUUGACGGUACCUGGCCAGAAAGCCACGGCUAACUACGUGCCAGCAGCCGCGGUAAUACGUAGGUGGCAAGC